rnacentral:lncRNA from 1 species
UCCUAAAUUCUUGUGAUUAAUUAGUUAAGCUUUGUUUAAGGUACUUAAAGAAAGAAAAAUGAUAUACAUGAAAUUGUGAAACAAGAAAUAAUACAUGGCAACCUACAUCUGCAUGUCCCUCAUCUGUCUUCCAUCGAUCCCAUCUCCGUUUCGAUCUGCAGUUACUAUUGACUACGGUUUGUUGCGGUCCACCAACGGGAAGGUGUGUAGAAUUUUGGUGUUCAAACUAGUUUGGGUAGCCACACCAUCACAUUCUCUCUGUCUACCUUUUCUAGCAGUGUUGCUUGUGGUAAUCCUAUAGACUUCUUUAGUUUUUCUCACUUGGUGGUCGCAAUCUACGAGAUACUAUCUGAUGGAGGACGGAGUCUGUUAAGCCCAUUUACUGGAGCCCACUACUUCCCUCCUUGCAACCGGCCCAUAUCAGUCCCUUUAUCCUCAUAACUAAGUAACUAGGGUUCUCCCUUACCAGGAGUAUAAAUAUGUAAUAGAGAGGAAGAACAGGAUAUGAAUGAAAUGAAUUAAACUGCCUCUUUUCCUCAAAACUCUCUGUUUCCUUCUUGCUCUUCCUAUUUCCUGCACUAUUUCCUGUUCAAGUUACCAUUCUAGCUAAUCUGAGCCGAUUGGGUGUACCAAUUGGUAUCAGAGCCCGUCGACCGAUGGGCAAAAACACGUAAGCCGCUAGCUCUGAUCUCGAUGUUGUGGCCG